UACGUAGGGUGCAAGCGUUGUCCGGAAUUAUUGGGCGUAAAGAGCUCGUAGGCGGUUUGUCGCGUCGAAUGUGAAAACCCGGGGCUCAACUCCGGGCCUGCAUUCGAUACGGGCAGACUAGAGUGUGGUAGGGGAGAUCGGAAUUCCUGGUGUAGCGGUGAAAUGCGCAGAUAUCAGGAGGAACACCGGUGGCGAAGGCGGAUCUCUGGGCCAUUACUGACGCUGAGGAGCGAAAGCGUGGGGAGCGAACAGG
rnacentral:rRNA from 1 species